rnacentral:rRNA from 1 species
GAUGAACGCUGGCGGCGUGCCUAAUACAUGCAAGUCGAGCGAACGGACGAGAAUCUUGCUUCUCUGAUGUUAGCGGCGGACGGGUGAGUAACACGUGGAUAACCUACCUAUAAGACUGGGAUAACUUCGGGAAACCGGAGCUAAUACCGGAUAAUAUUUUGAACCGCAUGGUUCAAAAGUGAAAGACGGUCUUGCUGUCACUUAUAGAUGGAUCCGCGCUGCAUUAGCUAGUUGGUAAGGUAACGGCUUACCAAGGCAACGAUGCAUAGCCGACCUGAGAGGGUGAUCGGCCACACUGGAGCUGAGACACGGUCCAGACUCCUACGGGAGGCAGCAGUAGGGAAUCUUCCGCAAUGGGCGAAAGCCUGACGGAGCAACGCCGCGUGAGUGAUGAAGGUCUUCGGAUCGUAAAACUCUGUUAUUAGGGAAGAACAUAUGUGUAAGUAACUGUGCACAUCUUGACGGUACCUAAUCAGAAAGCCACGGCUAACUACGUG